rnacentral:ncRNA from 1 species
ACACUGCAUCAAGAACGCAAAUGCGUACCAACCGACACGCUCGUUGCACGGUGGUUUAGAAUGUGGGGCUCCUCCCAAAAUAACGAGAAAUCCUAAAUUCUCUUGUUGCGGUUUAAUUUAAAUUGUAAUAAAAUGAAUAAAAAA